rnacentral:rRNA from 1 species
AUUAGAUGAGCCUAUAUUAGAUUAGCUAGUUGGUGGGGUAAUAGCCUACCAAGGUAAUGAUCUAUAACUGAUCUGAAAGGAUGAUCAGCCACACUGGAACUGAGAUACGGUCCAGACUCCUACGGGAGGCAGCAGUGGGGAAUAUUGGACAAUGGGCGAAAGCCUGAUCCAGCCAUGCCGCAUGAGUGAAGAAGGCCUUUGGGUUGUAAAGCUCUUUUAGUGAGGAAGAUAAUGACGGUACUCACAGAAGAAGUCCUGGCUAACUCCGUGCCAGCAGCCGCGGUAAUACGGAGAGGGCUAGCGUUAUUCGGAAUUAUUGGGCGUAAAGGGCGCGUAGGCUGGUUAAUAAGUUAAAAGUGAAAUCCCGAGGCUUAACCUUGGAAUUGCUUUUAAAACUAUUAAUCUAGAGAUUGAAAGAGGAUAGAGGAAUUCCUGAUGUAGAGGUAAAAUUCGUAAAUAUUAGGAGGAACACCAGUGGCGAAGGCGUCUAUCUGGUUCAAAUCUGACGCUGAAGCGCGAAGGCGUGGGGAGCAAACAGGACUAGAUACCCUGGUAGUCCACGCUGUAAACGAUGAAUGUUAAAUAUGGGGAG